GGGAGAGAGAGAGAGAGAAAGAGAGAGAGAGAGGGGGAGGACUGGGGCAGGAGAGUUUCUGUAAAAGGGGCUGAAGUCCUGCUGCUGCGUCCUCCACUGCUGCUGCUGCUGCUAAGAAAAGUAGUCCUCCUCCACCUCCAGAUAUAUAAAUGCUGCCAAACCGUUUUAUAUCACGGAUGUAAAACAAACAGACAACGACACACCCAGCUGGUGAAGGUGUCCAGGACUCCGCCGGAGCCGGAGCAGCAGUGUGGGCGAGGCAGCCUGAACUCCGCUGGAGCUGGAGACCUCCAGAUGGGUCAGUCAGGCCGAGCAAAGGAGCGACCCGGCCGGCCGGCGGUCAUCAAGGAGUAUGUGCACCUAAAGCAGACAAAAGGAAGGAGAAGGACUGAGCGGGCUGUCCGUCACUCCAGGCUGUCUGGUUUGAACUCUCACGCUCUCUGGCUGACUCCCAGCGCUCCCUCACCCUUAGCCCAAAAUGGCUGACACACAGCAGUUCUUCACUGGCAAGCUUUAUGUUCCUGUACACAUGCUAAAGCUGCCAGCUGAAGAACUGCUCUGGUCAGCCCUGCCCCGGAUGACUCAAGAAGAGGAAGCGGAUGGGGGUUGCUGGGAAGAAGACUGAGGAAGGCGGUGUUUCACACGCUCAGUCAGACUGGACUUUAUAACCACCAUUGUUUAUAAUCCUGUUUUUAAUCACGUGUAAUGUAUAUUUUACUUUAGGUAAUACAGAAUGUUUAGUUGUGAUCGUUUUCUCACUUUCUCCCUGCUUACAUUUUGCCUAUGAUGUGUCUAUUUUUUCUUACAAUAAAGAACAAAAUAUUUUCUCAGA